AUUUGUUUUAUGACUGAAACAAGAGUGUUUUCCAAAGUAUAAUUAAAAAUUCUUUCUAUGAAGAACAUUUUCUUUGAAUAUAAAUCAACCUUUGAAAUCAAGACGAAACAUGAGCCAUCUCUAUAACAGAACAGCUUAGCCAGAAAGUUAGCCAGAGCCAAGGAAAAGAAAAUUUGAGUUAGGGAGAAAGAGAAUUUGAAGCACAAGAAACUCUCCCUUUCUGACUCUGGAGAAUUGUGAGAAUGAAGAAAGAGGUAUUGGCAGUGCUUCUUAUUCCACUGAGCACAGAACUACCUUGUCCCAAUCCAGGAAAUAUCCACAUAAAGAUAUUGUGAUGAGCUGACUGAGUGGGUCUCUGGAUGAUGUUUGAGGACUUCUGUGACGGAAUGAGGAAAAGGGGAGGCUGACAUCAACUCAAAUAUUUCAAAGAAAUCACAUCUGGGGUGGAACCCACAGCCAAUGCAAAAUAAAA